rnacentral:rRNA from 1 species
UGGGGAAUCUUGCGCAAUGGGGGGAACCCUGACGCAGCGACGCCGCGUGCGGGACGGAGGCCUUCGGGUCGUAAACCGCUUUCAGCAGGGAAGAGUCAAGACUGUACCUGCAGAAGAAGCCCCGGCUAACUACGUGCCAGCAGCCGCGGUAAUACGUAGGGGGCGAGCGUUAUCCGGAUUCAUUGGGCGUAAAGCGCGCGUAGGCGGCCCGGCAGGCCGGGGGUCGAAGCGGGGGGCUCAACCCCCCGAAGCCCCCGGAACCUCCGCGGCUUGGGUCCGGUAGGGGAGGGUGGAACACCCGGUGGAGCGGUGGAAUGCGCAGAUAUCGGGUGGAACACCGGUGGCGAAGGCGGCCCUCUGGGCCGAGACCGACGCUGAGGCGCGAAAGCUGGGGGAGCGAACAGG